UCAUUCGUGGUACCUAGCAGGGAAGUUCAACCCAACAUUCCAGCAGUUCAUGAGGUUCGCAACCUCUUCAUUUCUCUCAAUCACCAGCCUAGCUCGAGUCAUGUCCAAAAGCCUAAAAAGACAUGAGCCAUGUGACUUGCCUAACACUGCGCCCCAGUGCCACAAUCCGAGGUCCCAGCCACACAAGCUGCCCUUGGUUCUAGCCAAGUCGAGCAGCUUAAAGCAGUGGUCCCUGCCACAAUACCUCAUCGGCCCAUGCCGAGUCGACUCCUGGCCCAUGCCAGCCGACGUGCCGCACCACCCCGACGGCUGCCCCGCGGUAGCACUAUCCACGAAGAAGACGAAGAAAUCAACGAAAGACGGUCCUUUGCACGGGCAAGAUGUAGAAGAUUGCUAGAGGAGGGGGAACAAAUAUCCUCUAAGCUAUCUCUCUCUUGUAGGGUAGAAUAAAUCGCUC
rnacentral:lncRNA from 1 species